rnacentral:rRNA from 1 species
UACGGGGGGGGCAAGCGUUGUUCGGAAUUACUGGGCGUAAAGGGCUCGUAGGCGGCCAACUAAGUCGGACGUGAAAUCCCUCAGCUUAACUGGGGAACUGCGUCUGAUACUGGAUGGCUUGGAUUCGGGAGAGGGAUGCGGAAUUCCAGGUGUAGCGGUGAAAUGCGCAGAUAUCGGGAGGAACACCAAUGGCGAAGGCAGCUUGCUGGGACGGUACUGACGCUGAGGCGCGAAAGCGUGGGGAGCAAACAGG